AACUUUGCGUAGAGGCAAUAUCGUAACCAAUGAGGUUAAUCCGAGGUGCGAUUAUUGCUAGUUGAAAACACCAAAACCUAUAUUGUUAGAUUUCGAAGCGAACAGUGAGUGAUAAAGUAUAAGUUAUUUGUGACAAGCUUAGAGA